UACAGAGGGUGCGAGCGUUAAUCGGAAUUACUGGGCGUAAAGCGUGCGUAGACGGUUAUUUAAGUCGGAUGUGAAAGCCCCGGGCUCAACCUGGGAAUUGCAUUCGAGACUGAAUAGCUAGGGUACGGUAGAGGGAAGUGGAAUUUCCGGUGUAGCGGUGAAAUGCGUAGAUAUCGGAAGGAACAUCAGUGGCGAAAGCGACUUCCUGGACCAGUACCGACGUUCAGGCACGAAAGCGUGGGGGAGCAAACAGG
rnacentral:rRNA from 1 species